rnacentral:piRNA from 1 species
UAUGUUUACCUCACCAACUACACUUGGA